CAGACACCCCAAUGCUUGCAGUGGUCCAGGACCACCAGGAAUUGUGACUGGAUAGAAGGUAAGAGAUGGCACAAGACUUCUAAGCUACCUCGGAACCAUCUUGCAACCCCCCAGCUGUGAGAAUCUAUGAGCACUUCUUAUAGGCUUUAGCACAUGCCAGAUCUUGUGCAAAGCAUGGUGAGAGACCUUAAGAUGGAUAUGCAUCAGGAGCCCAUGGUCUAGGAGAGGAAAGAAGACCUACCCAAGAAUGACAAGGCUGACUUGAAGAGGCCUCUAGUGGUCUUAUAAGAAGAGAUUAGGUCACAGAUACCAUGCACAGAAGGAAGACCAUGUGAAGACACAGAGAAAAGAUGGACAUCU